AGCUUGCUAAAUGGACUCAUGGCGGACGGGUGAGUAACGCGUAAAGAACUUGCCCUUUAGACUGGGAUAACAGAGGGAAACUUCUGAUAAUACUGGAUAAGUUAGUAUAUCGCAUGAUAUGCAAAUGAAAGCUACGGCACUAAAGGAGAGCUUUGCGUCCUAUUAGCUAGUUGGUAAGGUAAGAGCUUACCAAGGCGAUGAUAGGUAGCCGGCCUGAGAGGGUGGACGGCCACAAGGGGACUGAGAUACGGCCCUUACUCCUACGGGAGGCAGCAGUGGGGAAUAUUGGACAAUGGAGGGAACUCUGAUCCAGCAAUUCUGUGUGUGUGAAGAAGGUUUUAGGACUGUAAAACACUUUUAGUAGGGAAGAAAAAAAUGACGGUACCUACAGAAGAAGCAACGGCUAAAUACGUGCCAGCAGCCGCGGUAAUACGUAUGUUGCGAGCGUUAUCCGGAAUUAUUGGGCUUAAAGGGCAUCUAGGCGGUAAGACAAGUUGAAGGUGAAAACCUGUGGCUCAACCAUAGGCUUGCCUACAAAACUGUUGAACUAGAGUACUGGAAAGGUGGGUGGAACUACACGAGUAGAGGUGAAAUUCGUAGAUAUGUGUAGGAAUGCCGAUGAUGAAGAUAACUCACUGGACAGAAACUGACGCUGAAGUGCGAAAGCUAGGGGAGCAAACAGGAUUAGAUACCCUGGUAGUC
rnacentral:rRNA from 1 species